UACGAAGGGGGCUAGCGUUGUUCGGAAUUACUGGGCGUAAAGCGUAUGCAGGCGGAUCGUUAAGUCGGGGGUGAAAUCCCGAGGCUCAACCUCGGAACUGCCUUCGAUACUGGCGACCUUCGAGUCCGGGAGAGGUGAGUGGAACUCCGAGUGUAGAGGUGAAAUUCGUAGAUAUUCGGGAAGAACACCAGUGGCGAAGGCGGCUCACUGGCCCGGUACUGACGCUGAGAUACGAAGGCCAGGGGAGCCAAAGCGGG
rnacentral:rRNA from 1 species